rnacentral:rRNA from 1 species
CCUACGGGAGGCAGCAGUCGAGGAAUUUUUUCACAAUGGGGGGAAACCCUGAUGGAGCGACGCCGCGUGGGGGAUGAAUGGCUUCGGCCCGUAAACCCCUGUCAUUUGCGAACAAACCUGAUGGUUGAAUAAACUGUUAGCUGAUAGUAGCAGAAGAGGAAGGGACGGCUAACUCUGUGCCAGCAGCCGCGGUAAUACAGAGGUCCCAAGCGUUGUUCGGAUUCACUGGGCGUAAAGGGUGCGUAGGCGGUGGGGUAAGUUUGAGGUGAAAUCUCCGGGCUUAACCCGGAAAUAGCCUUGAAGACUAUCCUGCUAGAGGAUCGGAGGGGAGACUGGAAUUCGUCGGUGUAGCAGUGAAAUGCGUAGAUAUCGAGAGGAACACCAGUGGCGAAGGCGAGUCUCUGGACGAAUCCUGACGCUGAGGCACGAAAGCCAGGGGAGCAAACGGGGAUUAGAUACCCCGGUAGUCCUGGCCCUAAACGGUGCGCACUGCUGUGGCGGAGUCGUACCCGUCCGUCGGUCGUAGAACCGACUAAGUAGCGCCGCCGUCGGGAGGUACGGUCGCGACGAGUUAAACGUUAAAGUAAGUAGUAGUUACGUUGUAGAGUUAGUCGACGACGACGACGACGGAGGAGGAG